UACAUGGGGUGCAAACGUUGCUCGGAAUCAUUGGGCGUAAAGCGCGCGUAGGCGGUUACUUAUGUCGGAUGUGAAAGCCCUCGGCUUAACUGAGGAAGUGCAUUCGAAACUGGGUAGCUAGAGUACUAAAGAGGGUCGCGGAAUUCCCGGUGUAGAGGUGAAAUUCGUAGAUAUCGGGAGGAACACCGGUGGCGAAGGCGGCUCACUGGCUCGUUUCUGACGCUCAGGCGCGACAGCGUGGGGAUCAAACAGG
rnacentral:rRNA from 1 species